AGCUCCAAUAGCGUAUAUUAAAGUUGCUGCGUUUAAAAAGCUCGUAGUUGGAUCUCAGUCUCGAUCGAGCGGUCCGUCUCCUGACGGUUUAGAGUGCUCAAAGCAGGCCACCGCCUGAAUAGUCGUGCAUGGAAUGAUGGAAUAGGGCCUCGGUUCUAUUUUGUUGGUUUCCGGAACUCGAGGUAAUGAUUAAUAGGGACGGACGGGGGCAUUUGUAUUGCGACGUUAGAGGUGAAAUUCUUAGAUCGUCGCAAGACAAACUACUGCGAAAGCAUUUGCCAAGAAUGUUUUCA
rnacentral:rRNA from 1 species